rnacentral:lncRNA from 1 species
CAAACGCGCACACGCACAAUCUGUGUCAGGCUCACAGUGGCUUUUAUCUCAAAGAAAUACAUGUAAUGAAUUAAGAGUAGCAUCUCCACGUGUUUCUCUUGAGGUCUGUGGCCCCACCCCAUGAAACAGUGCUGCCCACAAUUCGGGAGAAGAAGGUGAAGGUACGGGCAUGAAGAGGAAGAGUGUCUCUGAAUGGAUGGCCGAAAUGUCCUGGAAAAUAACCACAAAGCUUCCUGAGACAAAAAAGUAGAAGACUAAGAUUUGAAGAUGACCCCAAAUGGCAAACAUGGUGGACUAUUAUUCUGUGAAUAAAGUUACAUAGCACAGGCCAACCCUGUAGGACUCAGAGAAGACAGAGAAUUGCCCACAUCAGAACCCAGGUCUAGAAAAUAAGCAGAGAACCUUUGCUUCGUUGUCAAGAAUUUAUAAUAUACCCAGAGCUUAAGAAGGAGGCUGGCCAAGGCGAUUCUCUGAUAUCCAGUUCCAUUCUGCGCCUGGAAAAGUAAUCUAAACAGACAGCAUCACUUGCCUGUCUUUGUCAACUGAUCCUGGAAACCCUGGCAGGAGGCAGAAGAGUGAGAAGAUAGAGUGAUUGGGUCCUUUUCCCAACAUGCCUGCUUUGACCCAGCAUUUGCAGCAGCACCUGUGUCCUUCCUUGACUAUGGAUUUGGUCUAGCCAUUUUUUUCUUUCUUUCUUUUGCUGUUGUUGUUAUUUGGAUCAGGUGGAAUUAAGGAGCUGUCAUCCUGCAUGUGACAGAAGAUCCUAGGUCCCCAUGUCUUGAAUGUUUCAGUCCUGUCUCAUGAAGUUUCUGUCUCCUGCUCUAUGAGUGACGAAAUGGAGAGGUACAUCUUGUACAGGUAGUAUGUAUUUGCCCUCUGGAAAGAAGUGACUGUAUAAGCCCCACAACAAAAAAGACUGGUGACCACACAUUUGGGACAGUCAGAAUAGACCUGCGUGAGGUUUGCUAAUUGAGAGAGGAGAGGAACACAAUUCAUUUCUGACUCGGUUAUCAAACUGUUCUUGUAAGUGACACGACUGAAACCACCUCUUGGCUUUGCAAACUGCUGAGUCCGGACUUCUGCAUCUCUGAAAGCUCAGCGAAUGGAUCUUCUCAGCAAAGAGCCUUCUUCCAUAGAAAGCUACAACUAUAGUAACUCUUGCAGUCUUUCUGACUUCAAAUACUAGUCUAGGAGAACAGAGGAACAAAAGAAGAAAGGUAUGUGGUUAAUUCUGUUGACUCAGUCAUGUGCUGAGACCCUCGGGGACAGCUUCUACCAGGAAACCCAGCCAUCAUUUUUGGUAGUACAUCAGUUGAAAAGCUCCAGGAAAUCUCGGUCCCUCUACACUCAGCAUUUUCUCAUGCUGCUGGUCGGCUGGUAGGUAGGACUUCCUCAGACUGAGAUCAGAGAGCUAGCUUCUUGGUUCAUAGUGUUAAGCUUAGAUUUAAUUAUGAUACUUUUAUGUUUUCUAAUGAUUUUUUUUAUAAAGAAACUAUAAGUGAGGGGAGGUGGAAAAACUCAUAAAGGCUGUCAUCUCCAAAGGACUUCAGAUGAAAUGGUGGCGGGAUCAUUGCCGUGCCAGGAAGAGCAUGGACAAAGACUGUGAUUCAGAGGCUCUUUGGAUCGGAUUUGAAAGCCUUUCCCCUGAGGACUAGCAUUCAAAGAACUGUAAGGUACUACGCAAGUUUCCAAGAAAGGGAGGCAACCAAUGGUCAUACCCAGCUGUGAUGUCUAUGAUCCAUAACAGCCCCAGCAUGACAAGGGAAGCUGUUUAAAGGAAGAGGAAGUCGUUCUCAUUUCGGGCCCUUCAAAGGACUUCCCUAAUCUUGAGGGCUUUGGUAGACACAAGGCUUGGAUUCCUUACUUUCUGGAUCAAUUACAAUGCUCUGAGCAGCAGGGCUCGAAGGGCUCCAGUUUGCUGUUUGGAGGUUUGGAGACUUGUCAGCCUAAUUCCAAUCCAUUUAAUGAUCAGAGUAAUCUGGGAGCCAUGUGUGUACCUAUAUCCCAGCUAUUUGAAUAGCCGAGGCAGCAGGAUUGCUUGGGUCCAGGGAGUUAAAGAUAACCUGGACAAUAAAAUGAGACCUAAAC